GAAAAAGCAGGAUGCUGUGCUACUAGCAGCAUCCCCGUAAACUUUAGGAACACCAUGAUCAUCGUUAUUGGGUGAACCGUUGGUCAUGUCCAUGUGUUGGACAACUCCAUGUCAAUUGGUUCAGUAAAUGAUGGAACAACU
rnacentral:snoRNA from 2 species